CCUACGGGAGGCUGCAGUGGGGAAUAUUGCACAAUGGGGGAAACCCUGAUGCAGCCAUGCCGCGUGUGUGAAGAAGGCCUUCGGGUUGUAAAGCACUUUCAGCGAGGAGGAAAGGGUGAUAGCUAAUACCUAUCAUCUGUGACGUUACUCGCAGAAGAAGCACCGGCUAACUCCGUGCCAGCAGCCGCGGUAAUACGGAGGGUGCAAGCGUUAAUCGGAAUUACUGGGCGUAAAGCGCACGCAGGCGGUCAGAUAAGUCAGAUGUGAAAGCCCCGGGCUCAACCUGGGAACUGCAUUUGAAACUGUCUGACUAGAGUCUUGUAGAGGGGGGUAGAAUUCCAGGUGUAGCGGUGAAAUGCGUAGAGAUCUGGAGGAAUACCGGUGGCGAAGGCGGCCCCCUGGACAAAGACUGACGCUCAGGUGCGAAAGCGUGGGGAGCAAACAGGAUUAGAUACCCCGGUAGUC
rnacentral:rRNA from 1 species